rnacentral:rRNA from 1 species
GAUGAACGCUGGCGGCGUGCCUAAUACAUGCAAGUCGAACGAAACUUCUUUAUCACCGAGUGCUUGCACUCACCGAUAAAGAGUUGAGUGGCGAACGGGUGAGUAACACGUGGGCAACCUGCCCAAAAGAGGGGGAUAACACUUGGAAACAGGUGCUAAUACCGCAUAACCAUAGUUACCGCAUGGUAACUAUGUAAAAGGUGGCUAUACUACCGCUUUUGGAUGGGCCCGCGGCGCAUUAGCUAGUUGGUAGGGUAAAGGCUUACCAAGGCAAUGAUGCGUAGCCGAAUUGAGAGGUUGAUCGGCCACAUUGGGACUGAGACACGGCCCAAACUCCUACGGGAGGCAGCAGUAGGGAAUCUUCCACAAUGGGCGAAAGCCUGAUGGAGCAACGCCGCGUGGGUGAAGAAGGUCUUCGGAUCGUAAAACCCUGUUGUUAGAGAAGAAAGUGCGUGAGAGUAACUGCUCACGUUUCGACGGUAUCUAACCAGAAAGCCACGGCUAACUACGUG